AGAGUUUGAUCCUGGCUCAGGAUGAACGCUGGCGGCAUGCCUAAGACAUGCAAGUCGUACGAAGGGGCCCAAUGAAAGGAAUUGAAAUUCAGAGUGCUUGCACAAAGAAUGGAUUUUCUUGGAUUUGGAUUUUCCCCUUAGUGGCAAACGGGUGAGUAACACGUGGGUUACCUACCUCUAAGAUGGGGAUAACAGUUGGAAACGACUGAUAAUACCGAAUGUGCUCUACGGAGUAAAGAAGCCCUUAAAGCUUCGCUUAGAGAUGGGCCUGCGGCGUAUUAGCUAGUUGGUGGGGUAAUGGCCUACCAAGGCGACGAUGCGUAGCCGAACUGAGAGGUUGAUCGGCCACACUGGGACUGAGACACGGCCCAGACUCCUACGGGAGACAGCAGUUAGGAAUAUUCGGCAAUGGGGGAAACCCUGACCGAGCAAUGCCGCGUGUGAGAUGAAGGUCCUCUGGAUUGUAAAUCACUUUUAUUUGGGAAGAAUUGUAAGUAGAGGAAAUGAUACUUACUUGACGGUACCUUUUGAAUAAGCCCCGGCUAACUACGUGCCAGCAGCCGCGGUAAUACGUAGGGGGCGAGCGUUAUCCGGAUUUAUUGGGCGUAAAGCGUGCGUAGACGGUUUAUUAAGUCCAGAAUUAAAGCCCGAGGCUUAACCUCGGUUCGUUCUGGAUACUGGUAGACUAGAGUAUGGUAGAGGCAAAUGGAAUUCCUAGUGUAGCGGUGGAAUGCGUAGAUAUUAGGAGGAACACCAGUGGCGAAGGCGGUUUGCUGGGCCAUUACUGACGUUGAGGUACGAAAGCGUGGGUAGCAAAUAGGAUUAGAUACCCUAGUAGUCCACGCUGUAAACGAUGAGCACUAAGUGUCGGGUUACCGGUGCUGAAGUUAACACAUUAAGUGCUCCGCCUGAGUAGUACGGUCGCAAGACUGAAACUCAAAGGAAUUGACGGGCACCCGCACAAGCGGUGGAGCAUGCCGUUUAAUUCGAAAAUACGC
rnacentral:rRNA from 1 species